UGAUAACAUUUGAGUGAGUGGCGGACGGGUGAGUAACACGUGGGUAACCUGCCCUAAAGUGGGGGAUAACAUUUGGAAACAGAUGCUAAUACCGCAUAAAACCUAGCACCGCAUGGUGCAAGGUUGAAAGAUGGUUUCGGCUAUCACUUUAGGAUGGACCCGCGGUGCAUUAGUUAGUUGGUGAGGUAAAGGCUCACCAAGACCGUGAUGCAUAGCCGACCUGAGAGGGUAAUCGGCCACACUGGGACUGAGACACGGCCCAGACUCCUACGGGAGGCAGCAGUAGGGAAUCUUCCACAAUGGACGAAAGUCUGAUGGAGCAACGCCGCGUGAGUGAAGAAGGUUUUCGGAUCGUAAAACUCUGUUGUUGGAGAAGAACGUAUUUGAUAGUAACUGAUCAGGUAGUGACGGUAUCCAACCAGAAAGCCACGGCUAACUACGUGCCAGCAGCCGCGGUAAUACGUAGGUGGCAAGCGUUGUCCGGAUUUAUUGGGCGUAAAGCGAGCGCAGGCGGUUUCUUAAGUCUGAUGUGAAAGCCUUCGGCUCAACCGAAGAAGUGCAUCGGAAACUGGGAAACUUGAGUGCAGAAGAGGACAGUGGAACUCCAUGUGUAGCGGUGAAAUGCGUAGAUAUAUGGAAGAACACCAGUGGCGAAGGCGGCUGUCUGGUCUGUAACUGACGCUGAGGCUCGAAAGCAUGGGUAGCAAACAGGAUUAGAUACCCUGGUAGUCCAUGCCGUAAACGAUGAGUGCUAGGUGUUGGAGGGUUUCCGCCCUUCAGUGCCGCAGCUAACGCAUUAAGCACUCCGCCUGGAGAGUACGACCGCAAGGUUGAAACUCAAAGGAAUUGACGGGGGCCCGCACAAGCGGUGGAGCAUGUGGUUUAAUUCGAAGCAACGCGAAGAACCUUACCAGGUCUUGACAUCCUUUGACCACUCUAGAGAUAGAGCUUUCCCUUCGGGGACAAAGUGACAGGUGGUGCAUGGUUGUCGUCAGCUCGUGUCGUGAGAUGUUGGGUUAAGUCCCGCAACGAGCGCACCCUUAUUACUAGUUGCCAGCAUUUAGUUGGGCACUCUAGUGAGACUGCCGGUGACAAACCGGAGGAAGGUGGGGACGACGUCAAUCAUCAUGCCCCUUAUGACCUGGGCUACCAC
rnacentral:rRNA from 1 species